AGUGGCGGACGGGUGAGGAACACGUGGGUGACCUACCUUGGAGUGAGGAAUACCGGCGAGAAAUUGCCGACAAUACCGCAUGCGCUUCUGUAGCGGAAAGCCUCGCUCGGAGAUGGGCCCGCGGCCGAUUAGCUAGUUGGUGGGGUAAGAGCCUACCAAGGCAACGAUCGGUAGCUGGUCUGAGAGGACGAUCAGCCACACUGGGAUUGAGAACGGCCCAGACUCCUACGGGGGGCAGCAGUGAGGAAUUUUCGGCAAUGGGGGCAACCCUGACCGAGCAACGCCGCGUGCAGGAAGAAGGUCUUCGGAUCGUAAACUGCUUUUCUCUGGGAAGAGGGACGGUACCAGAGGAAGAAGCCCCGGCUAACUACGUGCCAGCAGCCGCGGUAAUACGU
rnacentral:rRNA from 1 species